CAUGCAGUCGACGGCAGCACGGGAGCAAUCCUGGUGGCGAGUGGCGAACGGGUGAGUAAUAUAUCGGAACGUGCCCAGUCGUGGGGGAUAACGCAGCGAAAGCUGUGCUAAUACCGCAUACGAUCUCUGGAUGAAAGCGGGGGACUCGCAAGAGCCUCGCGCGAUUGGAGCGGCCGAUAUCAGAUUAGCUAGUUGGUGGGGUAAAAGCCCACCAAGGCGACGAUCUGUAGCUGGUCUGAGAGGACGACCAGCCACACUGGAACUGAGACACGGUCCAGACUCCUACGGGAGGCAGCAGUGGGGAAUUUUGGACAAUGGGCGCAAGCCUGAUCCAGCAAUGCCGCGUGCAGGAUGAAGGCCUUCGGGUUGUAAACUGCUUUUGUACGGAACGAAAAGGUCUGCCCUAAUACGGCGGGCCCAUGACGGUACCGUAAGAAUAAGCACCGGCUAACUACGUGCCAGCAGCCGCGGUAAUACGUAGGGUGCGAGCGUUAAUCGGAAUUACUGGGCGUAAAGCGUGCGCAGGCGGUUAUAUAAGACAGAUGUGAAAUCCCCGGGCUCAACCUGGGACCUGCAUUUGUGACUGUAUAGCUAGAGUACGGUAGAGGGGGAUGGAAUUCCGCGUGUAGCAGUGAAAUGCGUAGAUAUGCGGAGGAACACCGAUGGCGAAGGCAAUCCCCUGGACCUGUACUGACGCUCAUGCACGAAAGCGUGGGGAGC
rnacentral:rRNA from 2 species